UGCAAUACAUUUGUGCAACUGCAGACUUUGCAUUGGGAAAAUUAUCAGUGACAGUGUUGACAUAUCCUCGAACGGAUUCUUUCCUACAGUUCAAAUGAAGCUAGCACUGAAUGAGAA